rnacentral:rRNA from 1 species
GGAUUGCAGGCUGCAACCCGCCUGUAUGAAGUUGGAAUCGCUAGUAAUCGCGGAUCAGCAUGCCGCGGUGAAUACGUUCCCGGGCCUUGUACACACCGCCCGUCACACCAUGAGAGUCGGGAACACCCGAAGUCCGUAGCCUAACCGCAAGGGGGGCGCGGCCGAAGGUGGGUUCGAUAAUUGGGGUGAAGUCGUAACAAGGUAAC